CGUUACUAAUGUUUGUAAUGUCUUGUACGAGCUCCAUGUAAAACUUUCAUCUACAAAGGUUAAUGUUGUUGAUAAAAAUCUGCUAAAAUUUUACCAUUUAACAAAACAUCGAUUAUUAAAAUUGGUAGUCGGAAUUUGAAAGGGGUAAAGAUGGUUAAAGAGGAAAGGGAAAGCGAAAACAAGAUAAAUGUUAACUGACAAUAAUCGAGGAAAAUCAGAUGUGGAUCUAUGAUGAUGCAAAUGAUGCUGUAUGGCGUCGAGCCUCCAACUGAUAUGGGGUCCAAAUAUAAACGUUCUAGGAACUCCAGAAAGUUGUGCAAGGGGCAGUGAAUGCCCAAGAUCCAGCACCAGUUAACUCAGUUUUAAUUAGUAUGGU